rnacentral:pre_miRNA from 1 species
CUACUACUCCCUCCGUUCGGAAUUACUUGUCUCGAAAAUGGAUGUAUCUAGAACUAAAAUAUGUCUAGAUACAUCCAUUUCUUCGACAAGUAAUUCAGAACGGAGGGAGUACCUC